rnacentral:lncRNA from 1 species
AAGCUUUGUGAGUGAAGCAUGUAGUUUGAGGUAGUGUUCCCUUAAUUUCCCGAGUGAGAAAAACUUCUCGGUUGGAGACUUGAAAAAUCCAAGUCACUGAGUAGUCACGAACUUUUGAGUACCAAGGCGUAGUAGCAUAUGGUGGGAGUCCCCAAGUCUCUAGUCGAGGGAGUUGGCGAAUGAGGUGUCUUGCUAAUAGUCCAUGUCGUAAGUACCAAAACUUCAUUCUUUUGUUUUCUAAGUGGUAGCCCCGGACUUUUUCUUCAUAUAUUUUGUUUAUGAAGGUUGCUAGGCCCGAAUAAGUGGAAUUGCAGAAGGUGUAACGGUUGGUAGCUGUUUUAUGGAAAGCCAUCUGACUACGAUAGUCUUGCACAGGAUGACUAUAGGGAGAUACACACACAUACUGCUAUGAUAGAGGGUGUAACCGUUGGUGCAUUACAAUCAUAAUGGAAGCAUCACAAUGAUGGAAGCAUCACAAUGAUGAAAGCAUCAUAAUGAUGAAAACACCAUAAUGAUGAAACAUCAUAAUGAUGUUUCUUUGGUGGAAUUGUUUUUCAUUUCCCCUAACACCCGGAAUUGGUUUUCAAUAUAAGACCAUCAUCUGUAGCUCGAAUCACAAAGUUGGCUUCAUGAAAGUUGUUCUUUAAUUCCUUAACUACAACAUAUCCAAAUUUGUUCAUCUGCUCAAGAACUAGAGGGUGUCCAAAAUUCAGCUCCAUUGGAGAGAAGCAGCAGC